rnacentral:rRNA from 1 species
AUUGAACGCUGGCGGCAUGCCUUACACAUGCAAGUCGAACGGCAGCACGGGAGCAAUCCUGGUGGCGAGUGGCGAACGGGUGAGUAACGCAUCGGAACGUGCCCAGUCGUGGGGGAUAGCCCGGCGAAAGCCGGAUUAAUACCGCAUACGACCUGAGGGUGAAAGCGGGGGACCGAAAGGCCUCGCGCGAUUGGAGCGGCCGAUGUCAGAUUAGGUAGUUGGUGGGGUAAAGGCCUACCAAGCCGACGAUCUGUAGCUGGUCUGAGAGGACGACCAGCCACACUGGGACUGAGACACGGCCCAGACUCCUACGGGAGGCAGCAGUGGGGAAUUUUGGACAAUGGGCGCAAGCCUGAUCCAGCCAUGCCGCGUGCGGGAAGAAGGCCUUCGGGUUGUAAACCGCUUUUGUCGGGGAAGAAAUGCUCCGGGAUAAUACCCUGGGGAGAUGACGGUACCCGAAGAAUAAGCACCGGCUAACUACGUGCCAGCCGCCGCCGUAACAC